GGCCUCUACUGGAGGGAGAUGUGAAAGAGAAAGUUAAAAGCGAGCACGUCUUUCUGGAAGUCUGGCUGGGCCUGCACUCAAUCUCCCAGCCCCGCUGUCCGCACUGCAGUGCUUGCUCUCCUCGGGCAGCGGCCUGACUGCCUGGCUGCUCCUGCUCUGUCCAGGCAGCCCAGCUGGUCAGAGAUCCCUGCAGGGCCCCGGCCCUCAGAGAGGUCACCCAGUCCCCCUUCCCAGCGGCCAGGUUGCCUGGCCAGUGUGGAUGUGGGGAGGAGCAGAGGUCUCCUGGAUGCUGUGGCUGCACAGACAUCUCCAGACUGCCAAGUUCUGCCUGCCUCCCGUGCAGCCAGCACCCGGCCAGGCUUGAAUCAUUCUUCAGCUUGAGCUGCGUCCCACGCUGCCGGCUCCAGUUCGAUCCCUGCAGAGCAGCACUCAUCCACCCACACUUGCUGCUGGCACCCGGUUGCCUGUCAAACUCACCCCGCUGCAUGCUGGGUCCUCACACCCAUGGCACACAUCCCAGUUCCAGGGUCGCUGCAGUGACGGAUUGAGUCCCAGAGCUUGAAAUUGUCCUCAACUCUGCCCUUGCAUCCCUGUCUGAUGGUGAGGUCUCUGGGUUCCUGCAGCCUGGUCACUCUGGUCAGCGGGUCCAGCUCCGAUGACUGCAGUGUUUCCUGACAUGUCCCCUGCUGCCUUGUGUGUGGUUUGUGAAAUCAUGAGAAAUAGACACAUUGAUCUCUGCCCUGGUCCCUGGCCUACAGCUGCUGAAGCCCUUGCAGACAGGGGCACUGGGAGGUUGUUUGUUCUAGUAUCGGGUCUUUGACCCCAGUUCCAGAGCUCCUAGGAUGUCUGUCAUUUCCUGAGUGAUAGGAGGGUCCAGCACACAGGUCCUCGUCCUCUGGAAUUUCCUGGGAGGUGAGAGUAUCCAUUGUUCCUGUGAGGGACCUCUCUGGUGGGCUCCUGGGAAGCGGGAGGACCAAGCCAGCUCCACCUGCCCCUCAUCGUCUGGGAAGAGGAUUAAUAAUUGGUUAUGCAGAUGGGAUGCAGCCUCCAUAAAAAUCCCUGAAUUCCUGGGUUUGAGAGCUUCCGGACAGCUGAACACACAGAAGUCUCUGGAGGGGAACCCCGAGGAUGGACCCUGUCCAGGGCCCUCUCCACUGUGUCCCUUGUUGUAUCCUUUAUGACAAAUGACUGUACUAUGUAGAGUGUGCUCCUGCAUUCUGCUUUAACAGAUUAACAAUGUCGAUGAGGGACAGUAGGAACCCCUAGUCUGUAGCCUGUCAGUCAGAAGUUCCAGAGGCCUGCACUCGCAGGUGGCAUCGCAAGAGGGGACAAUAUGGCUGAGCCCUGUGACGCUGUCUCCAAGUGGACAGGGUCAGAAUCGAGUUGAGCACACACUUGGUGCUGAAGGCUGGAGGGCUGGCUGUGAAUGGGAGAAAACCUCACCCACGCUUGGAUCUGGGAAGUGUGUUGUGUGGUCUUCACAGUAAGACUAUUUUCUAGCUGGAGUUAGCUCAGCUGACCCCAUCUGCCUGGGUGACUUUCACAAACUUAUUGAGUGAAAGGUGCUAAAUACAUGACUAAAUGUAUGUGAAGUUCAAGAAUAAGCAGACUGGCAGAGGUAGGUGCUAUCAUUGCCUCUAGGGCGGGUGUGCCGCAGACCAGCUGCAGUCGAUGUAGGGUAGGAAGGGGAGAUGUCCUGGGCCGGAGAUGAGAAAAGAACCUUCACAAGCAAUGUUCAGGUUCCCUCUGAGAAGUCUUUGGGUCUGAUUUAUUUUUAUAUCUUUAAGCAACAGCUAAGAGGCAUUGGGCGGAACAUGUUCACAUUUUAUGUUGCCUUAGCAAUAUCUGAUGAGGUACAGGUUAUUUUUGCUAAACAGUAUAUUUUUUCUAAGCUGAUUCAUUUCAUUGAACAUCAUGAAUACAUUUCUUAAAAAUUGCAAUUGUUCCCUCAUUGUCCCAUACCUAAGCAGAACAAAAAGUAACUUAAUCAAAUUAAAUGUCAAACUUGUGGUCACCAGCUAGCCCUUGAGAAACUGCACAAUGGUUAAUAUAGUUUGCUAUUAGCUCUAUUUAUCUUAACUAAAUGUCAUUUGGGUUCAUAGUCCAUGAGCAGGAGAUAUUUACAGCACUUUGAGAGAUAUUGAGUAACUUGCCUCCUUAAUGCAUUUACCUGUCUUAACGUUCUUUUUAUUUCCCAUUUCCCACUAUUUCUUACAUCUAAAGCCUGACCUUUCAAUCUCUUCAUAAGACCCCUUUAGUAAAAAGAAUGUCAGCAAUAAGAGAGGGAGUUAUAGUAGUGGGCAACAGAGGGGGUUUUAGGAGAGGUUUCUUUAGGAGUGGAUGUGGCAAUAGAACUAAGAGAAACUGGAAUUUGGGGCUUAUGAGCCAGAUCAGAUUUCAAUAUAUCAUUGCCAAUUUGCCUCAUGGAGAGUUUGUUGUUAGUCAUAAACACAAUGGCUCCUGUGAUCAGAGGAAUAAUUAUAAACAUUAUGGCAAGAAAAAAAUAAAACAUGAGGGUACGAUGUGUUCCACCCUUUCUUUCCCCCAGCUGGAACUUUGUCAAGCAGCAAUGGAGGUCCGUUGGGCUUCGCCACAGUUCUGCAUGACCUAAAAUCCCUCCACACUUGGAUUUCAUGAUGUUUUAUGGAAUGUGCAGUGACCUUGUUUUCCACGUUUCGAACCAGAAAAUCUUUGGACUCAUGGGAACAUGGGUUUGGAGCCAGACAGACAGCCUGACAACAGGGCUGUGGAAGAACUCAAGGCCGGUGCUGGUCCAGGGAGGUAAAAAUCUACCCUCAGGAGCUGUAACAGGGUGAGGGCCUAAGGCACCUGGGCUCAACUUUUCUCCCAUGAAUUAUACUUCCUGCCACAGAAAUCUGGAAGCUGCGAUACACACAGACGUCAGCCUUCUAACUUAGCCUGGCCGGCACGGAAAUGAAGUCCUAGGUCCCCCACCUUGAGGACACCCGACUCCAUGGGAACUCCACCCCAGACCAAGAUGCAUCUCUGUCCCAAGGCUUGUCCUCCAUUCUCUGAGAGGGGACUGUUUUAAUUUUGCCUAAUAAACCUCUUCACUCCUCUUGCUGAUGAAUCUUGAAAAUACUUUUUCUGCGAUGGAAGUCAGCGAACUUUCAACCUGUUGCAUGGGUGUGGUGAGUCCCAAUUCCCAUCUUCAGUUUGGGGACUUGGACCCUGUCCAGUGACACCUGGUGCUAGCUGUUUACUGAGCUUGGGUUUUAUUUUGUGGAAUGGCUGGAGGAUGCAGGCAUGUGUCCCCUCCAAUACUUACUGGCUGUCUUCCUAGUGGGUUUUGGUUCCUCAGCCAUGAAAAAGUGUAGCCUGAAUAAAAUCCAGCACUGCUGUGGUCCAGGACCACAGGGCCAUGCACAAGGACAGCAGCCUGGGGGAAAUUCCAUGCAUCAGCCUGUAGCCUGUUG
ensembl:lncRNA